AGAGUUUGAUCCUGGCUCAGAACGAACGCUGGCGGCGUGCCUCAUACAUGCAAGUCGAACGAGAAAGCCCGGCUUCGGUUGGGUUAGUAAAGUGGCGCACGGGUGCGUAACACGUGAGGAACAUGCCCCUAUAUCGGGGAUAAGCCUGCGAAAGCGGGUCUAAUACCGGAUGUUGUCAUUGGAUCGCAUGGUUCGAUGAUUAAAGGCGGUUGAGUCUAUGCCGUCGUAUAGGGAUUGUCUCGCGGCCCAUUAGCUAGUUGGCGGUGUAAUAGACCACCAAGGCUCCGAUGGGUAGCCGACCUGAGAGGGUGACCGGCCACACUGGGACUGAGAUACGGCCCAGACUCCUACGGGAGGCAGCAGUAGGGAAUAUUGGACAAUGGGGGAAACCCUGAUCCAGCAACGCCGCGUGGAUGAUGAAGCUUUUUGGAGUGUAAAAUCCUGUCAGUGGGGACGAAACGUCCGGGUAGGAAAUGCCCCGGGCCUGACUGUACCCGCAGAGGAAGUUCCGGCCAACUCCGUGCCAGCAGCCGCGGUAAUACGGGGGGAACGAGCGUUGUUCGGAUUUACUGGGCGUAAAGGGCACGCAGGCGGGGAGACAAGUCAGAUGUGAAAACCCAUAGCUUAACUCUGGGCCUGCAUUUGAUACUGUUUCUCUUGAGUACGGGAGAGGAUGGCGGAAUUCUUGGUGUAGCGGUGAAAUGCGUAGAUAUCAAGAAGAACACCGGUGGCGAAGGCGGCCAUCUGGCCCGAUACUGACGCUCAUGUGCGAAGGCAAGGGGAGCAAACAGGAUUAGAUACCCUGGUAGUCC
rnacentral:rRNA from 1 species